AAACCUAAAAAUCUAACACCCCCCGCUUAAAAAGCUAAACCUAAAUCUCCCCCUUUGCGCCGUUCAUCGAAUCGUCGAUCAGAAAAGGCUUCCGAAACCUCGCUCAUGCUCCGAUUGCGACGGAGAGAACAAGGAUUCAGCCUCGAGGUAUGUUUUACGCUUUCUAAUCUCCGUUGUUAUAUGCUUGUGUUAAAAAAUGAACCAAAUAAAC
rnacentral:lncRNA from 1 species